rnacentral:rRNA from 1 species
UACAUGUGGGGCAAGCGUUGUUCGGAAUUACUGGGCGUAAAGCGUGCGCAGGCGGUUCGUUGUGUCGGUGGUGAAAUCCCCGGGCUUAACCUGGGAAUGGCCAUGGAAACUGGCGAACUGGAGUGCGGCAGAGGGGGGUGGAAUUCCGCGUAUAGCAGUGAAAUGCGUAGAGAUGCGGAGGAACACCGAUGGCGAAGGCAGCCCCCUGGGCUAGCACUGACGCUCAGGCACGAAAGCGUGGGGAGCAAACAGG